rnacentral:rRNA from 1 species
UGCUACAAUGGCGCAUACAAAGAGAAGCGACCUCGCGAGAGCAAGCGGACCUCAUAAAGUGCGUCGUAGUCCGGAUUGGAGUCUGCAACUCGACUCCAUGAAGUCGGAAUCGCUAGUAAUCGUGGAUCAGAAUGCCACGGUGAAUACGUUCCCGGGCCUUGUACACACCGCCCGUCACCACCAUGGGAGUGGGUUGCAAAAGAAGUAGGUAGCUUAACCUUCGGGAGGGCGCUUACCACUUGUGAUUCAUGACUGGGGUGAAGUCGUAACAAGGUAACCGUAGGGGAACCUGCGGUUGGAUCACCUCCUUA